AAUCGUUUAGAGUGGAAAAAGCGAGUCCAUAUACCCCAAUUUUUUUUGAUAAAGUCUUAGCUGAGUUGAGUUGUAUCAACAAGUCCAAUCCUAUCAAGUUCACGAAAAAUUUAUGUUCCCAACAUUGUUCAGGUUAGCACCUCAAAUAUCAAGAGAUUCAACUACUCAAAAGUAUUCAAGAGUGCCACCCAAAACUGAACCAGUGUGCCCUCUCACUCACGCACGCAUGCGAAAAAAAAG
rnacentral:misc_RNA from 1 species